rnacentral:rRNA from 1 species
UACGAAGGGGGCUAGCGUUGCUCGGAAUCACUGGGCGUAAAGCGCACGUAGGCGGCUUGUUAAGUCAGGGGUGAAAUCCUGGAGCUCAACUCCAGAACUGCCUUUGAUACUGGCGAGCUUGAGUUCGGGAGAGGUGAGUGGAACUGCGAGUGUAGAGGUGAAAUUCGUAGAUAUUCGCAAGAACACCAGUGGCGAAGGCGGCUCACUGGCCCGAUACUGACGCUGAGGUGUGAAAGCGUGGGGAGCAAACAGGG